UCUCCGGACAAUUCCAGUCAUCAGCCACGGCCGUUGUCGAACCGUUGCUGACGAUAUGCCACACCCACCCGCUAAUUGUGUGUUUUUUCGUUUUCCUCGCAAAGUAUAUUUCUCUCCGGUCAGCUUCCCGGGACAUUCUAUUUCUUCGGGAGAUCGCGAGAGAGGGCGAGCCUGCAUAACCGGUGACGGGCCGACGGCCUGCCCUCUGCCGCUGCCGAGGAGGCCAACUGUGAUCUGCCGCUGUUUCAAUCUGUAAUCCGGAGACCCCCAUUUUUAUCUUCUUGAUCACUCGUUUACCCUUCUUCGAUCCAGUCGUGGACAAGAAGAGAGCCGACGGCCUGCCCUCUGCCGCUGCCGAGGAGGCCAACUGUGAUCUGCCGCUGUUUCAAUCUGUAAUCCGGAGACCCCCAUUUUCAUCUUCUUGAUCACUCGUUUACCCUUCUUCGAUCCAGUCGUGGACAAGAAGAGCGAGCUCUUCUUCAACUUCAACCCCUCAGAAGCCCUAAAUAUACUCCAUAUAGUUUCAGAGAAAUGUCAGAGUAUUUUCCCUUGCUUGCAGGGGAUGCUCACGGGAGCCGCAUUUCUCAAGGGUUUGUGAAAAAUUGUCUUCGCCAUGGGCCGAAAGGUCUUCCUACAUCGGCAGUCAUGGCUCUUCUUCAAUUUCAACCCCUCGAAAACCCUAAGUCUACUUCAUAUAGUUUCGAAGAACAAGAAACCAUAGAUGUCAGAUUAGCCAGUGGCGGAGCCAGCGUGGGGCAGGCGUGGGCGGCUGCCCACGCCAGCCAAAAAAACCUCCACAGUUUAGUGGAGCGUCUUUGCCUCAUGCCCGUGUUGACGCCAUGUUGCUGCCCACGCCAAACAUGGAUCGGGUCCAACAAUUGGUCCAGCUCCAGCCUCCAGAAAACAUAAGGCGCCCAAAUUCACCCGAAAGUUCACCCAAUUGAUUCUGUUUGCUCGCAGCCCGCCCAAAUUCACCCGAAAGUUUGAAACCGAAUGGCGAAAGUAAAACUGCCGAAGGGCGAAGCCGCGAAGGGGAAGGGGCGAACCGGUGAGUGAAGGGCAAGGCUGCAGGCCCACAACCGCGCAGUGGGGAUGCUCACUACAGCCCCAUUUCUAAAGGGUCUUUAGAAAAAUGUCGUCGCCAUGGACUGAAAGGUCUUCCAACAUCAGCAAUCAUGGCUCUUCUGCCUCGCAUUUGUAUCUUCGCCAUCGUUUACAGCUUACAACUGCAGGGUUCGAUGUCAGGACUAUCUCGGGGUCCCUGUCGAACUCUAGCAAAUGUGAUCGCUGAUCAUGAUUCCGGUGGACAUGUUGUGAGGUGGAGAGGAAAAAAGUUAAGGGGUUCGCCCGAUUCAGAUGGGGUUCAGGUCGUCUAGGAGGCGGAGCUCGUUAAGCAAGACGUGGAUGUCGAUUCAUCGUGAGGGCUUUCAACGGUAAUCUGAUCUCGCUGAUCAUGUUAUUAAUUUUUUCCUCUAUGUCUUUUACUUUGUUUCUAGUUGUUCUUCAUUUUCCUACUUUGUUUGGCGGAUAAUCAUCCAGAAUAGACGUAUCAAAAAUUCAGAGAGAGCUUCUUUUUUGUCCUUCUUCUUCUCCUCUCUCAUUGGCGUUCAAUUGCGGCUCGUCCAUCUGUUGGAAUUCUUCAUUAUCUCUUUACUUAUAUGAGUGAUGAUGGCUUUCAUACUUAAUUUUUCUCUAGCGCACGUGAUUUACAUCACUUUGCACUAUCCUGUUUUUUUCCUGGUUCCUCUUUUUUUAUCGUUUGAAUUAUCCUUGCGAUUUGGAAGAAGCAACAGGAUCGGCAUUAGUUUUGUAACUAGAAAAGCUAGUGAUCCAAUAAGAAAGGUCAGCUCUUCGAGAGGAGGCAGAAGAAUAUGACUACUUCAUGCUCUUAGAUAUUCAAGAAAGGUACAGUGAUCUUCUACUUUUUUUUUGUCAUUUUUCUUGUUUUCGCUUGUACUUGAUUGAACCAUGUCCAAAUGGCAAGCGUUGUUGUUCCUGAUACUGGUAGUAUAUUCUUUGGACAACUUGGUCUUUCUGGCUGAAUUGGUAUUAGUUAAUAUCUUCAGCUGCUGUGCACGAUCAUUUCUUUGAUGCUUUCUGCCUUUGGCUGGUUCUCAAGCUAUUGGAGUUAUUACAAAGGUCUGAAUACACACUUUUGAUAUAUUCUCUAUUGUUCAUAUCCAUAUGCUUUUUAUUAGUUAGCCGCAACUUCAUUAUUUUCUUUUUCCUCCCAUUUUAUUUCUUAAUUUAGCUGGCACAAUUGAAUGGCAUUCAAAACUUUUUGCCCGGUAAUGUGAUUUCUUGUUGACUUGGCGAUGUUGGUGUUCUGGUAACACAAAACUGGUGGCUUAAUGAAAAAAAAAUGUUAUGCAUUUCACAAUUUUCUUUGGCUAUGCGAGUAAUUAUUUUUGUAUUCUUUAGCAUUUUCUACUGCCUGCAUUUGGUUUUCUUCUUUCAUUUAAGUGGAAAGUACAGAAACUAGUUUGUUUCUUUAUGAAAAGAUGUUUGCAUUAGGAAUAGCUAAUGGUUAGAACUUAGAAGAUUCCAUCUUUGGCUGAAAUAACAUGAAAGUGUGUCUAAUGUUGCUUCAGGCCAACUGUUUCUCAAUCUAUUGUCUACCACAAACAUGUUCAUGCUUUAUGUCAUGGUUCAAUGUCCCACAAGAACUUCGUCCAAGUUACUUUAUCAAUGAGGGUGCUUACCAAUAUUUGUGGAUAAAUAUGUGUAAACACAAAGAGUUGAGGACUUCUUCCAAAGCUGACCUGUCUAUCGUGAUCUUUGAUCAUGUGGUGUUCCUCAGUUGGCGAAGAAGCUGAGUCAGGUAAUUCAAUGUCGACAGUGCAUUCUGUCGUGUCGUUUUUUACUGUGAUUGCUCACUAUUUUGACUGCUCUCAUGGUCCAUCUAUGUGUGCCACAUGUGGGACUGCUCACUGGUCUGUUGUCUGGAGCUACAACGAAUGGCUAUGACAGUGUCUCUUGUAUGUGAUGUCAGAAUGGACAAGGCAGCAAGGUAUAUAUUUUUUUAUACACUUUUGUCUGUUAACAUGAGGCAUGUCUUGGAAUAUAGGCAUAGGGUCUUUGAUCAUUUACGUGGUGAAAUGGUAAACAUCUCCCUGAAGCUUUUACUAGUUGUAUGCAGCAUAAAAGCAAUAGUCACAUUCAAUUGUCUUACUAUUUAA